rnacentral:rRNA from 1 species
AUGGACCAGGGGAGUCCCGAGGCGACCAUGAGGGUGGGGGGCGCGCCCUACCCCCCUAGGCGCACCCCCUUAUCUCGUGGCCGCCUCGGGGACCCCCCUGACUUGUUCCCGACUCCAAUACCUCUUAUAUAUACCCAAACUUCCAGAAAGAAACCUAGAUCGGAAGUUCCGCCGCCGCAAGCCUCUGUAGCCACGAGAAAUCAAUAUAGGCCCUCUCUGGCACCCUGCCGGAGAGGGCCAUCAUCACCGGAGGCUAUGGAGGAGGAUCCCGGAGGGGCCAUCAUCACCAUGAAGGCCAAUGACCAAAGGGAGAACCUCUCCCCAUCUAGGGGGAGGCCAUGGAGGAGGAAGCACAAGGGGGAGAACCUCUCCUCCUCUCUCUCGGUGUUCCGGAGUGCCAUCGGGAGGGGAAUCAUCACCGCGGUGAUCGUUUUCAUCAAAACCACCAUCAUCAUCACCAUCCUCAUCUCUUUUACGCGGUCCACUCUCCCGCGCCCCGCUGUAAUCCCUACUUGA